AUACGUAGGGGGCGAGCGUUGUCCGGAAUGAUUGGGCGUAAAGGGCGCGUAGGCGGCGCGGUAAGUCUGGAGUGAAAGUCCUGCUUUCAAGGUGGGAAUUGCUUUGGAUACUGCCGCGCUUGAGUGCAGGAGAGGUUAUCGGAAUUCCAGGUGUAGCGGUGAAAUGCGUAGAGAUCGGGAGGAACACCAGUGGCGAAGGCGGGUAACUGGACUGCAACUGACGCUGAGGCGCGAAAGUGUGGGGAGCAAACAGGAUUAGAUACCCUGGUAGUCCACACUGUAAACGAUGAAUGCUAGGUGUAAGAGGUAUCGACCCCUUUUGUGCCGGAGUCAACACAAUAAGCAUUCCGCCUGGGGAGUACGGCCGCAAGGUUGAAACUCAAAUGAAUUGGCGGGG
rnacentral:rRNA from 1 species